rfam:Nectria haematococca mpVI 77-13-4 chromosome 9 genomic scaffold NECHAsca_6_chr9_2_0, whole genome shotgun sequence.
UCCGAUAUAGUGUAGUGGUUAUCAUACCGCGUUUUCAUCUCGGAAACGUGCCGCGGGGACCGGGGUUCAAUUCCCCGUAUCGGAG